rnacentral:hammerhead_ribozyme from 1 species
AUCUAGCUGACGAAUCCCGAAAUAGGACGAAACGCGCAUCCUGGAU